rnacentral:rRNA from 1 species
UACGUAGGAUCCGAGCGUUGUCCGGAUUUACUGGGUGUAAAGGGUGCGCAGGCGGGCUGGUGAGUCUGGGGUGAAAUCUCGCCGCUUAACGGCGAAACUGCCUUAGAUACUAUCAGUCUUGAAUCAGCGAGAGGUUCGUGGAAUUCCGAGUGUAGCAGUGAAAUGUGUAGGUAUUCGGAAGAACACCAGUGGCGAAGGCAGCGAACUGGCGCUCGAUUGACGCUCAGGCACGAAAGCAUGGGGAUCAAACAGG